AGUAUUGGAGGCACUGCCUGCCCAGUGACAUUCGUUAAACGGCCGCGGUAUCCUGACCGUGCAAAGGUAGCAUAAUCACUUGUUCCCUAAAUAGGGACUCGUAUGAAUGGCCACACGAGGGUUUUACUGUCUCUUACUUCCAAUCCGUGAAAUUGACCUUCCCGUGAAGAGGCGGGAAUAUAAUAAUAAGACGAGAAGACCCUAUGGAGCUUCAAUUAACUGAUCCAAAGAGAUUAAUAUAUACCGACAGGAAUAACAAUCCUCCAUAAUGGAUCAACAAUUUAGGUUGGGGUGACCUCGGAGUACAAAAUAACCUCCGAAUGAUUUCUAAUCAAGACUAACCAGUCAAAAGUACUACAUCAUCAAUUGAUCCAAAAUUAUUUGAUCAACGGAACAAGUUACCCUAGGGAUAACAGCGCAAUCCUAUUUUAGAGUCCAUAUCGACAAUAGGGUUUACGACCUCGAUGUUGGAUCAGGACAUCCCGAUGGUGCAGCAGCUAUCAAAGGUUCGUUUGUUCAACGAUUAAAGUCCUACGUGAUCUGAUUUCAGACCGGA
rnacentral:rRNA from 1 species